AGCUCCGGUGGCAUAGUGGAUAGAGCGUCCGCCUCGGAUGCAGGAGGUCGUGGGUUCGAGCUCCGGUCGAGUCA